GGGUUGUGAGGUUAAGCGACUAAGCGUACACGGUGGAUGCCCUGGCAGUCAGAGGCGAUGAAGGACGUGCUAAUCUGCGAAAAGCGUCGGUAAGGUGAUAUGAACCGUUACAGCCGGCGAUGUCCGAAUGGGGAAACCCAGUGCAAUUCGUUGCACUAUCGUUAACUGAAUACAUAGGUUAACGAGGCGAACCGGGGGAACUGAAACAUCUAAGUACCCCGAGGAAAAGAAAUCAACCGAGAUUCCCCCAGUAGCGGCGAGCGAACGGGGAGCAGCCCAGAGUCUGAAUCAGCUUGUGUGUUAGUGGAACGGUCUGGAAAGUCCGACGGUACAGGGUGAUAGUCCCGUACACCAAAAUGCACAGGCUGUGAACUCGAAGAGUAGGGCGGGACACGUGGUAUCCUGUCUGAAUAUGGGGGGACCAUCCUCCAAGGCUAAAUACUCCUGACUGACCGAUAGUGAACCAGUACCGUGAGGGAAAGGCGAAAAGAACCCCGGCGAGGGGAGUGAAAAAGAACCUGAAACCGUGUACGUACAAGCAGUGGGAGCACCUUCGGGUGUGACUGCGUACCUUUUGUAUAAUGGGUCAGCGACUUAUAUUCUGUAGCAAGGUUAACCGUAUAGGGGAGCCGCAGGGAAACCGAGUCUUAACUGGGCGUUAAGUUGCAGGGUAUAGACCCGAAACCCGGUGAUCUAGCCAUGGGCAGGUUGAAGGUUGGGUAACACUAACUGGAGGACCGAACCGACUAAUGUUGAAAAAUUAGCGGAUGACUUGUGGCUGGGGGUGAAAGGCCAAUCAAACCGGGAGAUAGCUGGUUCUCCCCGAAAGCUAUUUAGGUAGCGCCUCGUGAAUUCAUCUUCGGGGGUAGAGCACUGUUUCGGCUAGGGGGUCAUCCCGACUUACCAACCCGAUGCAAACUACGAAUACCGAAGAAUGUUAUCACGGGAGACACACGGCGGGUGCUAACGUCCGUCGUGAAGAGGGAAACAACCCAGACCGCCAGCUAAGGUCCCAAAGUCAUGGUUAAGUGGGAAACGAUGUGGGAAGGCACAGACAGCCAGGAUGUUGGCUUAGAAGCAGCCAUCAUUUAAAGAAAGCGUAAUAGCUCACUGGUCGAGUCGGCCUGCGCGGAAGAUGUAACGGGGCUAAACCAUGCACCGAAGCUGCGGCAGCGACACUAUGUGUUGUUGGGUAGGGGAGCGUUCUGUAAGCCUGCGAAGGUGACCUGUGAGGGUUGCUGGAGGUAUCAGAAGUGCGAAUGCUGACAUAAGUAACGAUAAAGCGGGUGAAAAGCCCGCUCGCCGGAAGACCAAGGGUUCCUGUCCAACGUUAAUCGGGGCAGGGUGAGUCGACCCCUAAGGCGAGGCCGAAAGGCGUAGUCGAUGGGAAACAGGUUAAUAUUCCUGUACUUGGUGUUACUGCGAAGGGGGGACGGAGAAGGCUAUGUUAGCCGGGCGACGGUUGUCCCGGUUUAAGCAUGUAGGCUGAUUAUCCAGGCAAAUCCGGAUAAUCAAGGCUGAGGUGUGAUGACGAGGCACUACGGUGCUGAAGUAACAAAUGCCCUGCUUCCAGGAAAAGCCUCUAAGCAUCAGGUAACAUCAAAUCGUACCCCAAACCGACACAGGUGGUCAGGUAGAGAAUACCAAGGCGCUUGAGAGAACUCGGGUGAAGGAACUAGGCAAAAUGGUGCCGUAACUUCGGGAGAAGGCACGCUGGUGUGUAGGUGAAGUCCCUGCGGAUGGAGCUGAGACCAGUCGAAGAUACCAGCUGGCUGCAACUGUUUAUUAAAAACACAGCACUGUGCAAACACGAAAGUGGACGUAUACGGUGUGACGCCUGCCCGGUGCCGGAAGGUUAAUUGAUGGGGUUAUCCGUAAGGAGAAGCUCUUGAUCGAAGCCCCGGUAAACGGCGGCCGUAACUAUAACGGUCCUAAGGUAGCGAAAUUCCUUGUCGGGUAAGUUCCGACCUGCACGAAUGGCGUAAUGAUGGCCAGGCUGUCUCCACCCGAGACUCAGUGAAAUUGAACUCGCUGUGAAGAUGCAGUGUACCCGCGGCAAGACGGAAAGACCCCGUGAACCUUUACUAUAGCUUGACACUGAACAUUGAGCCUUGAUGUGUAGGAUAGGUGGGAGGCUUUGAAGCGUGGACGCCAGUCUGCGUGGAGCCAACCUUGAAAUACCACCCUUUAAUGUUUGAUGUUCUAACGUUGGCCCCUUACCGGGGUUGCGGACAGUGUCUGGUGGGUAGUUUGACUGGGGCGGUCUCCUCCCAAAGCGUAACGGAGGAGCACGAAGGUUAGCUAAUCCUGGUCGGACAUCAGGAGGUUAGUGCAAUGGCAUAAGCUAGCUUGACUGCGAGCGUGACGGCGCGAGCAGGUGCGAAAGCAGGUCAUAGUGAUCCGGUGGUUCUGAAUGGAAGGGCCAUCGCUCAACGGAUAAAAGGUACUCCGGGGAUAACAGGCUGAUACCGCCCAAGAGUUCAUAUCGACGGCGGUGUUUGGCACCUCGAUGUCGGCUCAUCACAUCCUGGGGCUGAAGUAGGUCCCAAGGGUAUGGCUGUUCGCCAUUUAAAGUGGUACGCGAGCUGGGUUUAGAACGUCGUGAGACAGUUCGGUCCCUAUCUGCCGUGGGCGCUGGAGAAUUGAGGGGGGCUGCUCCUAGUACGAGAGGACCGGAGUGGACGCAUCACUGGUGUUCGGGUUGUCAUGCCAAUGGCACUGCCCGGUAGCUAAAUGCGGAAGAGAUAAGUGCUGAAAGCAUCUAAGCACGAAACUUGCCCCGAGAUGAGUUCUCCCUGAGACUUUAAGUCUCCUGAAGGAACGUUAAAGACGAUGACGUUGAUAGGCCGGGUGUGUAAGCGCAGCGAUGCGUUGAGCUAACCGGUACUAAUGAACCGUGAGGCUUAACCUUACAACGCCGAAG
rnacentral:rRNA from 1 species